UACGUAGGGUCCGAGCGUUGUCCGGAAUUACUGGGCGUAAAGAGCUCGUAGGUGGUUUGUCGCGUUGUCCGUGAAGAACUCACAGCUCAACGUGUGGGCGGUGCGGGCGAGUACGGGCGAGACUGGAGUAGCUGCAGGGGAGACUGGAAUUCCUGGUGUAGCGGUGAAUGCGCAGAUAUCAGGAGGAACACCGGUGGCGAAGGCGGGUCUCUGGGCAGUAACUGACGCUGAGGAGCGAAAGCGUGGGGAGCAAACAGG
rnacentral:rRNA from 1 species